GACAGAGGGGGCAAGCGUUGCUCGGAAUUACUGGGCGUAAAGGGCGCGUAGGCGGGAUGGCAAGUCGGUCGUGAAAUCCUUCGGCUCAACCGAAGAACGUCGAUCGAUACUGCUGUUCUUGAGGGUUGCAGAGGAGACUGGAAUUCCCGGUGUAGCGGUGAAAUGUGUAGAGAUCGGGAGGAACACCGGUGGCGAAGGCGGGUCUCUGGGCAAUUCCUGACGCUGAGGCGGCGAAAGCGUGGGGAGCAAACGGG
rnacentral:rRNA from 1 species